rnacentral:tRNA from 1 species
CUUAAUGUGGCAGAAUUAAAUGCAAUGAACUUAAGCUUCAUUUAUAAAGAAUCUUCUUUCAUUAAGA